rnacentral:rRNA from 1 species
AUGAGUCUCGUCCACCUCUCUUCUGUAGUUCCUCCCUUUCCAUGUGUGUCUCCAUGGCCGCCCCACCUACGUAAUUCCUCCUCCCUCGAUCGCCCAUUCUCCAGCGCCCUCGACGAGGACCGCCCUCGUCAUGGCUCAAUGGAGCAGCGGCUGCUUGUCUUGGAGUUCCUGUUUGACUCGUCGUCUAGCCGUAGCGGGCCGCCGAUCCCCUAUAGUUCUUGUUCAUCUCUUCAUGUUCUUCAGGCUCUAAGCACCAAACUUGCAGGAGGCACUACAUUUGCGAACGACGACACCAGGAAUGAACAACUUCAUCAUCUUAUAAGAGCAUUGGAGCAAGAGAGAGCAAUGCACAAGAAAGAGCAAGAUAGAUCAAUGUUGCAGUUGCAUCAGAGAUUGUCAGCUAUAUAUGAAGAUAUGAAAGUGAAGAAAAAAAGGGGCAUGUGCCUUUAUCAU